rnacentral:rRNA from 1 species
UACGUAGGGGGCAAGCGUUGUCCGGAAUCAUUGGGCGUAAAGCGCGUGUAGGCGGUUCGAUAAGUCUGCUGUGAAAGUCCAGGGCUCAACCCUGGGAUGCCGGUGGAUACUGUCGGGCUAGAGUGCGGAAGAGGCGAGUGGAAUUCCUGGUGUAGCGGUGAAAUGCGCAGAUAUCAGGAGGAACACCAAUUGCGAAGGCAGCUCGCUGGGACGUGACUGACGCUGAGACGCGAAAGCGUGGGGAGCAAACAGG